GCUGGCGGCGUGCCUAACACAUGCAAGUCGAACGAGAAAGUGGAGCAAUCCAUGAGUAAAGUGGCGACCGGGUGAGUAACACGUGACUAACCUACCUCCGAGUGGGGAAUAACUCCGGGAAACCGGGGCUAAUACCGCAUAACAUCGCAAGAUCAAAGCAGCAAUGCGCUUGGAGAGGGGGUCGCGGCUGAUUAGCUAGUUGGCGGGGUAACGGCCCACCAAGGCGAAGAUCGGUAUCCGGCCUGAGAGGGCGCACGGACACACUGGAACUGAAACACGGUCCAGACUCCUACGGGAGGCAGCAGUGGGGAAUUUUGCGCAAUGGGGGAAACCCUGACGCAGCAACGCCGCGUGGAGGAUGAAGCCCUUUGGGGCGUAAACUCCUUUCGACUCGGACGAUAAUGACGGUACGAGUGGAAGAAGCACCGGCUAACUCUGUGCCAGCAGCCGCGGUAAUACAGAGGGUGCAAGCGUUGUUCGGAAUUAUUGGGCGUAAAGGGCGCGUAGGCGGUGCGGUAAGUCACCUGUGAAAUCUCCUGGCUUAACUGGGAGCCUGCAGGCGAAACUACCGUGCUG
rnacentral:rRNA from 1 species